UACGAAGGGGGCUAGCGUUGUUCGGAAUUACUGGGCGUAAAGGGUGCGUAGGCGGUUCGUUAAGUCUGUCGUGAAAUCCCCGGGCUCAACCUGGGAAUGGCGAUGGAUACUGGCGAGCUAGAGUGUGUCAGAGGAUGGUGGAAUUCCCGGUGUAGCGGUGAAAUGCGUAGAGAUCGGGAGGAACAUCAGUGGCGAAGGCGGCCAUCUGGGACAACACUGACGCUGAAGCACGAAAGCGUGGGGAGCAAACAGG
rnacentral:rRNA from 1 species